AAGACUUUUGCAAUUCCGUUAUAAAACUGUCGCAUUUUGCUAUAAAACCAUCAGGAGUUUAAAUUGUUGCUUGGGAAUCUUUGAUUUUUUGCUCUAAGUGUCAUGUCAGUGUGAUCAGUGAUAGUAAGUCAUGCAUGAUUCUUACCGCAAUUGAAAUCUUCCAAUUCGAUCGUUGUCACUUUUCAAAGAAUUUAUCUUUCACACUAAACAUUAAAAGAAAAACACAAAUUACUAUAUGAGAUGCUUAUUUGCUACAUUCCACCGAAUCAAUGAAAUUCAUCAUACAGGACAAGUCGAUGUAGGAAUUUUUAAAUUUUGAUUGUUAGUUAUCUAUGAAUGUAUCUGAUAAAGAUUGAAACGACUUUAUCAUAAAUCUAUUCAAUAAUCGAAACACUAAUUGAUAACAUUUAACUUCUCUUAGCCAUCCUUCAACAGAGCAUAAGCAGAUUGUUGCGAGAUCCCUUGUAAACAAAUACCCUGUUUUAAGCUCCAAUAAUCAGAAUAACCCAGCGGCAUUCUGGUUCAACAAAAAUGGAAAUGGCCAAGGAAAACACACCGGUAAACUGCAGUGGCAUCUAGGAUACCUAGUGAAAAAACACAAUAAAAGGAAGCAAACUCCGAGAAAAACUGUUCUUCAAAUCGACACAGAUUUAAACUCUUCAGAGGAAGAACUCAAUUUAUCGAUUUCUUCCCAAAAGCUUGAUGAAAUUGUUUCCAAGUUGAAAUUUAUGUCCCCAAUUGCUGAAUCUCGUACAAUUAUUGAACAAGACUGGCAGUUAACAUACACUAUUAGAACAGAAAUUAAGAAACAAGCAGUAGGGGGUGAAAAAAUUGAGAAGAUGUUCAACACAUUUCCUUUGAUAACAGCGUACCAUGGGCACCUGGUUUCUUUAGACUUUGAUCGCUUAUUCCCACACGCAAAACCAUUUGCGGAAAUAUGGUCACAACUGGAAGAUAGAAUAUUGGAAAAGUUUCAUUACUUGUUCACCGAAAUACCACACAAUUUCAUCAGAGUGUUAGCCAUAAUUAAAAAAAAACUUCCGACGCGUGGCAUAAAAAGAACAUCAGAUUUGAAAUUUCAAUCGAUAUUAGAAGAAAUUAUCGAAUGGAAAUCAAUUGACAAGACUUACGAUUUUCAGUGUAAAUCACCAAAAUUGAUCGUUGUCGGAGAACAAUAUUGCGACGGUUUCUCCUAUGGUGUUUUUUCGAAAAAAAAAUGCCUUUUGGAAAUGAGCUUGAAAAGGCAUUCGAAAUGUUCAUUAAAACACACUUCGUUCUAGGAGCGUGUUUUGAUCCGUCAAAUAAAAAUUUUUAUAAUUUUUUCACCGGUGCUGUAUUAGCUGUUGAAAACGUUACAACAACUGUUGACACAUUUUUGGCUGUAGUCAACAAUUUGAAAAACCAAUAAACACACUCACACACACACACACACACACACACACACACACACACACACACACACACACACACACACACACACACACACACACACACACACACACACACACACACAUACACACACACACACACACACACACACACACACACACAACAUAAAAUACGACGUUAGGGGCAAACUUUUCUGAUCCGGAAUAUAACUUCAAAAAGGUUAGAGUCUUAAAAACCAUUCUUUCUUCUAAUAACUGUAUUUCUAGAUUUCUGCAUGCCUUUUUCCGGAAUUGUUGUAACUGAAUAAAACUUUGUAACGUUUAUGUACGAUUAUUGAUUUUAUUCUUUUCACAGGUUAUGAAUCAUGCAAGGCACCGAUCGAAUCAUUGUGAUUGAUAUGAUGAUUUGUGUGAUCAUUUGACAAAUUGGUUUUAAUAGUAUUUUUAAAUAGCUAACUGCUAAACUCACAGAAGAAACUACAUCGUCACACAGAUCACUUGUGGAACUUCACAUUCGCUGGCCCUCAGCAAUUGGGGUUAGUUGUUCCGCUGAAGCUCUAGUGCCCUCGGCCAGCGGGUCACGACAAUAACGAUCUCAGCAAUCACCAUAAUCAUCGUCCAGGUGGCUUCGGCUCACUAUUACUGCGCCUGGCUCUAACGCAUUCCCGGGUGCUGUUUGCCUGGGGACCGAAUGCCUAUGGGACUAGACCUAGGUCACAUUGUUGGCGGCAUUCCGAUUCACCGUUUCCAAAUCAGGAGCCAUUUUCGAUUGGGGAGCUGAUAGGAAGCGUAACUAUCCAAGUUAGAUGCUGUCGAAGGCACACUAUGGCUGCGUAUCAUCUCGGGGGGAAAAUCUACGCCUUCGGAUUGGAAGGGGUCGGUCAGCUUGGUAUAGUCGCAAGUGUCAAAUUGAACACCCCCCAACUUGUUCGGUGACUAUGAAUUGAUUCCUGUUCUAUGUGUUACGUGAUGUUGCAAAAAACUAGCAACUGCCUUUUUUCGGACUACCGAGGGUACAACCCAGCUUCGAAGAUCCUAAUGCUGUUCUCUCAGAACUGCUAAACUCACUGGAGAACUACAUCGUCACGCAGAUCACCUGUGGAACAUCACACUCGCUGGCCCUCAGCAAUUGGGGUUAGUUGUUCCGCUGGGGCUCCAACGCUCUCGGCCAGCUGGUUACGACAAUAACGAUCUCAGCAAUCAGCGGGUUCCGCGGAUGCUCAAAGCCAUUGCUAACAUAAUCGUCCAGGUGGCUUCGGCUCACUUCGGCACACUCACCGAAUGCCUCUGGGACUAGGCCUCGGUUACUCCAACGAGUAGGUUCCAAUGCCAACACUGAUCACAUCGUUGGCCGGCAUUCCGAAUACAUUUGAUGCCUGUGACGAAUAUCGUCGCUUCGCCGUUUCCAAAUCAGGAGCCAUUUUCGAUUGGGGAGCUGAUAGGAAGCGUAACUAUCCAAGUUAGAUGCUGUCGAAGGCACACUAUGGCUGCGUGUCAUCUCGGGGGGAAAAUCUACGCCUUGGGAUUGGAAGGGGUCGGUCAGCUUGGUAUAGUCGCAAGUGUCAAAUCCAACACCCCCCAACUUGUUCGGUGACUAUGAAUUGAUUCCUGUUCUAUGUGUUACGUGAUGUUGCAAAAAACUAGCAACUGCCUUUUUUCGGACUACCGAGGGUACAACCCAGCUUCGAAGAUCCUAAUGCUGUUCUCUCAGAACUGCUAAACUCACUGGAGAACUACAUCGUCACGCAGAUCACCUGUGGAACAUCACACUCGCUGGCCCUCAGCAAUUGGGGUUAGUUGUUCCGCUGGGGCUCCAACGCUCUCGGCCAGCUGGUUACGACAAUAACGAUCUCAGCAAUCAGCGGGUUCCGCGGAUGCUCAAAGCCAUUGCUAACAUAAUCGUCCAGGUGGCUUCGGCUCACUUCGGCACACUCACCGAAUGCCUCCGGGACUAGGCCUCGGUUACUCCAACGAGUAGGUUCCAAUGCCAACACUGAUCACAUCGUUGGCCGGCAUUCCGAAUACAUUUGAUGCCUGUGACGAAUAUCGUCGCUUCGCCGUUUCCAAAUCAGGAGCCAUUUUCGGUUGGGACAAGAACACCUCGGCCAAUUGGGUCUCAACGAUCCAAACUCUAAGAACUGAAAACGCUGUGUAUCCUGGGCGUCAGGUUUAUGAUUUGUUGAGAUGAUUUCUCCGUUUUGCUCACGAACGAAAUUAGAGUGUUCACAUGUGGAGCCAGGACGUUCGGGCAGCUGCGAUACGGGACCUGCGGUAAUGAAAUACUGCCACGUGACGGUUCUAGAGCUGAUAGAAAGCAAACCCAAAUUGGGUGCGGUCGAAGGCAGAAAUCGGAAUCGAUCUCGACGGACUUAAUCAAUUCCUUGGUAGCCUCCCCGGCGAAUGUGGAAAUGUUAUUAUUGGAUGGUAUGCGAGACUCUGGUCGCCGGAUACCAUACACUGUGGUACCGUUCUUACGAAAAAUAGUUUUUUUUUACGGAUUAGGUUCUGAUUAAAUAAAU